CAGCUGAGGAAAACAAACACGGUGAUCUUCUCCACAGGUAUCUGUACCUCUUUCGGCGGGUUGACAUUAGGCAAGUUCAGAAAACCACUCAAUAUCUCAUUAGAUCUGUAAUGGUAAUAUUUUUCUUUUGUAUAUUCUUGUUGUGAAACUUGUUUUCUUUAUUUUUCUUCGUCUAGCAUCAGUAGUUGAUUUUAUGGGUGGGAAAAUGAGUGGGUUUGGUAACAAUUCGUAAGGGGUAAUGUUUUCAUGCAGGUUGGAGUGGUUGUGCCGUGCUGGUCACACUUUUUGUUCACUUUCUAAAAUGUGUUCAUAAAUUAUUUGCGUUAAAUAGGCUUAUAUUAUUAAAUAAAUUGUAAGGUUUGGAGUAAAGUGAUUUAGUAAGGUUGUUUGCACUAAAAAUGCACUUCAAACUUUUGACCCAUUUAGCCUGCCCUUUGGCAGCUAGGUUUAGCAAGUGUUCCCUGUGAUACCGGGUCCGUUAGUUAUGCAUAUCUAUGUUGUCAAAGAUGCAAGGCGGCAAGGUGCAUAGGCUGAUCCCAGAACUUAAAAAAACAUGAUGGGGAGAAGGGUGUUUCGGGCCUUUCGGCGGUGGAGGGUAGUAUUGUAAUUUCGGAGAAAGUGUCGAGUGCGGCUGGGACGGUAGCGCGAAACGUGUUUGAAGUGGAUUGUGUACCGUAGUGGGUUUCACUUCUAUCUGUGGAAGGAGACCCGAGAUGGAAGAUGUGGUUGCGACUGUGCCUAGAUUCUUAAAGGUCCCUAUUCAAAUGUUGACCGGUGACUGCGGUGUUGUUGACCGUUGAGCAGACGUUUGAACCAUUUGACCACCCAUUUCUUUGGGGUCUAUGAUGGGCAUGGUGGUUCUCAGGGAAUAGAUGAGCAAGUGGAAGACUUGGGAAACCAAAACAAAUACAAAACAACACAGGUCCUCUAGAUGCAAGAAGUUCACCAAAGCCGCAUUAUAGGAUGAGAUACAUUCAAACCAUAAGAUAUAUAUUAUAUUAAUAUGUUUUAAUGUUUUUCUAAUUCAUCUUUUAAUUAAUUCUUAAACGCAAGCAAUCCUGGGAACAAAGGAGAACGACAACACUUUUGUAUAGCUAAAGUUAUUUUUGCUCAUUUAAAAGCAAACAACCCAUCGAACCGCGCCGUGCACACCUUUAAAAUCACUAAUGUACGUGUUACCCGCCGCAACGCGCGGGCACGCCACUAGUUAUUUAAAAAGAAUGAAAUAUUGUCAAUUUCGGGAACUAUAUAUACACGUGCACUAAUG